rnacentral:rRNA from 1 species
GAUGAGCGCUGGCGGCGUGCCUAAUACAUGCAAGUCGAGCGGUAACAGGUCUAGUUUACUAGAUGCUGACGAGCGGCGGACGGCUGAGUAACACGUAGGAACGUACCCCAAAGUGAGGGAUAACUGCUCGAAAGAGUAGCUAAUACCGCAUGUGAUCUAAGGAUUAAAGCUUUAUGCGCUUUGGGAACGGCCUGCGUUCGAUUAGCUAGUUGGUGAGGUAAUAGCUCACCAAGGCGAUGAUCGAUAGCUGGUCUGAGAGGAUGAUCAGCCAGACUGGGACUGAGACACGGCCCAGACUCCUACGGGAGGCAGCAGUAGGGAAUUUUCCACAAUGGACGAAAGUCUGAUGGAGCAACGCCGCGUGCAGGAUGAAUGUCUUCGGAUUGUAAACUGUCUUUUGUUGGUGAAGAAUAUGACGGUAACCAACGAAUAAGGGUCUGCUAACUACGUGCCAGCCGCCG